UUUCGAAUUUAUUUGCGCCACUAUGAUUACCACAACAAGUUAACAGUUGCUCGAAGCAGUGCAAAAUGUCUUCACCAAUAAACCCAUGUCUGAAAAAUACAUGACGGGUAAAAAGAAUAAACAUGCCUUUGGUGGUUCAAGCUUUUUUGAAAUAAUAAGAGAUGCUAUAGCUACAAGUCAAAAAUGUGCAACAUGGACAACAAUAUGGAACUAGUGUGCAAUAUACCUAAAAUACGCCCAGAAAUAUCGGGAAUGUGUCCAGCAAAAGGACUGACAUUUUAAAUAAAAUUAAGUAUUCAGUUUGUGUUUGUUUGAAAUUGUAAGAUGCAUAUGCGAGCAACAUGUUAUAUAAUUACUGUUUUAUGUCACAAACAUAUUUUGUGUAUGAACAAACAUGAUCCUGUCUAUUAUGAAAAAAUGAAGGUACAAAAAUGUAUGCCAACUGACACUACAAUAAAGUUUAAGAUUAUCUAUGCCUGGUAAGGUUAAUAAGUUGUGCCUGUUCUUCUUGUCAAGUCUUGUAUCAUAAACACCAGAUUCAGAAGUGAGUGGUCUCAUUACAAGUAUAAUAAUUACCAAAACAAAGGGAAUGACUUAUUUUCCACUUAAUCAUAAAAUUUAGCGAAAUACAAAAAGGGAAAUAUUGGAACAGGC